UACAAGAUCCCCGCCCCAUGACCAUCCCUAAGCUCGAUCCCUUUUCUUCUCUCACGCAGAAACCUAAGAGUUUUGCUUCUCCGUUCUUUGUAAUAUGUUGCAGUUGAAUCAGAAAGACGAUUAAGAGGAACGGAGAAGAAAGACAAUUGAGAGGUAUAGAAGGAGGUAUAGACUUUGGUCGUUACAGGUCUCCUAUUGGAUUCUUGAACAAAAAUUUCACCCCAAUGUUGAUGGCAGAGAACACUGCUACCUUGGUAACGGCGGCCAAAGUCCAACGCUUAUAAUUCUUACUUGCCUAGCUAGCCUCUUUGCUAAGUUGGAUGAGUAGAGGAACGUUGAAUACUUGAACACCAGCAUUAGCUCUGGUGGUGGUGGUAUUUCCGUUGUUGUCUCUACUUUUAUCAGGCGAUGCUGCUGCUGUAGUUGUUGCACCGACAGUUGAGGAGAAGGAGUUGAUUCCGGAGACCAUGAUACUAACUGAUUCUAGAAACUCCAAAGUGGAGUGUGAUUGCUGAUGCAUUAGAGAUCUCAGUAUUACAUCGUUUCUGGGUUUCUUAAGCAAGUUGAAUGUUUCUUGGUCUUUAUUGAUUUUUCAUUUUUUCCAUCUGAUUAUCUUUAAAUUAUAUCUUUAUUUUUCUA